rnacentral:rRNA from 1 species
GAGAGAGACAUGCGCGCAUAUCAAUAAGCGGAGGAAAAGAAACUAACAAGGAUUCCCUUAGUAACGGCGAGUGAAGCGGGAAGAGCUCAAAUUUGAAAUCUUCAAGGUUUUACCUUGACGAAUUGUAGUUUAAAGAAGUGUUUUCUGCUGAAGUUUUGGUAAAAGUUCUUUGGAAUAGGACAUCAUAGAGGGUGAGAAUCCCGUAUUUGACCAUUAUUUUCAGCUUUGUGAUACACUUUCAAAGAGUCGGAUUGUUUGGGAAUGCAGUCCAAAAUGGGUGGUAAAUUUCAUCUAAAGCUAAAUAUUGGCGAGAGACCGAUAGCGAACAAGUACCGUGAGGGAAAGAUGAAAAGAACUUUGAAAAGAGAGUUAAACAGUACGUGAAAUUGUCAAAAGGGAAGCGUUUGACACCAGUGUUGUUUUCUCGAAAAUCAAUUAAAAAUGGCUCGAUUUUGUAUUGCUUGAGACCUUAAAAGCUCACUGUACAUUUUUCGUGUCUUUUUUAAUGCACUUUUCGUUUAACAAGUCAACAUCAAUUUCUUUUGUUGUAAAAGGGUCAUUGGAAGGUGGCUUUCUUUUCGGAGAAAGUGUUUAUAGCCUUUGGCCUCUGCUAAUCGAAGAGACUGAGGUCUGCAGCGUAGACUCUUCGGGGUUAGAUACAUUUGUGCUAAGUUAUAGCUUUUUAUAGACAACUUGUUGACUAUAAUUAGUCUUGUAGCUUACUCGCUUAUGCUAUUUUACCUACGCUUAGGAUGUUGAAGUCAUCGUAUCGCGC